GAAAUGCGAUAAGUAAUGUGAAUUGCAGAAUUCAGUGAAUCAUCGAAUCUUUGAACGCACAUUGCGCCCUUUGGUAUUCCGAAGGGCAUGCCUGUCCGAGCGUCAUUAUCAACCCUCAAGCCCGGCUUGUCGUUGGGUCUCGCCGCUCUCCUCGGAGGCGGCGGGCUCGAAAGAUAGUGGCGGAGCCGUGUGGACCCCGGAUGCAGCGAGCCUUUUUGAGCACGCAUCUCGCUGGUCCCUCGGCGCCCUCUCAACCGUAACCUUCUCAAUGGUUGACCUCGGAUCAGGUAGGGAAACCCGCUGAACUUAA
rnacentral:misc_RNA from 1 species